rnacentral:rRNA from 1 species
CAAUAGCGUAUAUUAAAGUUGUUGCAGUUAAAAAGCUCGUAGUUGGAUUUCUGGUGGGAGCGAUCGGUCUGGCGCUUAGCGCGAGUACUUGUAUCGUCUCCGGCCAUCCUUGGGGAGAGUCUGUCUGGCAUUAGGUUGUCGGGCAGAGGAUCCUCAUCGUUUACUGUGAAAAAAUUAGAGUGUUCAAAGCAGGCUUAUGCCGUUGAAUAUAUUAGCAUGGAAUAAUAAGAUAGGACUUUGGUACUAUUUUGUUGGUUUGCGCACCAAAGUAAUGAUUAAUAGGGACAGUUGGGGGUAUUCGUAUUCCGUUGUCAGAGGUGAAAUUCUUGGAUUUACGGAAGACGAACUACUGCGAAAGCAUUUACCAAGGAUGUUUNCAUUAA